rnacentral:lncRNA from 1 species
UCAUCGUGGCCCCCACUGUUAAUAAUUGGUUAUAAUGACAUUCUUCCCACACCUUUGCUCGUGCCAACGAUGCCUCUAUUGUAGCUGGUCGAGCCUCUUUUACAAACAUUUUCAAUUCUGGUGGAUACAAACCAUUGAUUAAUAUUGACAAUAUAAACGCAUCUGGUAUUUGAUUAUUUGACCAUUUAUGAAGUAUAUCCACAAUCCGGCUAUAAUAGGACUCCACUGAUUCCCCC